CUGGCAAAACAGAUGACCGCCUGCAAUCGUAAGAUCGUAGGAGGAAAGUCCGGGCACCCCUGAGCAAUCAGGACAAAAAGCGCGGUUAACGACCGCCAGGACAUAGUUCUCCUUCGGGAGGAUAAACCUAGGGAAAGCGCCACAGAAACUAUACUAGCCCUGCAGCAAUGCAAGGUGAAAGCUGAAAAGUAUGUUGGUGUCGUCGUCUACCCCUUCGGGGAGAGCAACGUCCAUCUCGUGAACGCGCAAGCGUUUUACGAGAUACGGCUACAACAUUCGUCCCGUGGUAACACGGUGACGUGGCAAGCCCACUUUGGUGCAAGAGCAAAUCCCCCUUCGCGCAAGCGCUUGGGGAAUGGUCGCUCGCUUGAGGUCGUGAGCAAUUGCGAUCCUAGAGAGAUGGUCAUCCACUUGUGAGGCGCAAGUCUCACAAGAAGACAGAACUCGGCUUACCGUUUCGCCAGAGGU
rnacentral:RNase_P_RNA from 1 species